CCUACGGGAGGCAGCAGUGGGGAAUAUUGGGCAAUGGGGGGAACCCUGAUCCAGCGACGCCGCGUGCGUGAAGAAGUAUUUCGGUAUGUAAAGCGCUAUCAGCAGGGACGAAAAUGACGGUACCUGACUAAGAAGCCCCGGCUAACUACGUUCCAGCCGCCGCGGUUAUACGUAGGGGGCAAGCGUUAUCCGGAUUUACUGGGUGUAAAGGGAGCGUAGACGGUGCAGCAAGUCUGAUGUGAAAGGGCGGGGCCCAACCCCGGGACUGCAUUGGAAACUGGUGAACUGGAGUGCAGGAGAGGUAAGCGGAAUUCCUAGUGUAGCGGUGAAAUGCGUAGAUAUUAGGAGGAACACCAGUGGCGAAGGCAGCAUGCCGGCUCCACACUGACGCUGAGGCACGAAAGCUGGGGUAUCGAACAGGAUUAGAUACCCUUGUAGUC
rnacentral:rRNA from 1 species